rnacentral:rRNA from 1 species
GAUGAACGCUGGCGGCGUGCCUAAUACAUGCAAGUCGAGCGAACGGACGAGGAGCUUGCUUCUCUGAUGUUAGCGGCGGACGGGUGAGUAACACGUGGAUAACCUACCUAUAAGACUGGGAUAACUUCGGGAAACCGGAGCUAAUACCGGAUAAUAUUUUGAACCGCAUGGUUCAAAAGUGAAAGACGGUCUUGCUGGCACGUAUAGAUGGAUCCGCGCUGCAUUAGCUAGUUGGUAAGGUAACGGCUUACCAAGGCAACGAUGCAUAGCCGACCUGAGAGGGUGAUCGGCCACACUGGAACUGAGACACGGUCCAUACUCCUACGGGAGGCAGCAGUAGGGAAUCUUCCGCAAUGGGCGAAAGCCUGACGGAGCAACGCCGCGUGAGUGAUGAAGGUCUUCGGAUCGUAAAACUCUGUUAUUAGGGAAGAACAUAUGUGGACGUAAAUGUGCACAGCUUGACGGUACCGAAUCAGAAAGCCACGGCUAACUACGUG